rnacentral:rRNA from 1 species
CCAAUAGCGUAUAUUAAAGUUGUUGCAGUUAGAAAGCUCGUAGUUGAAUUUCGGGAUUGACGUGAUGGUCGUGCCUUACGGGGUAUGAACUGUUGCUGUUGAUUUCUCACCUUCUGGAGAAACUUGAUGUCCUUAAUUGGGUGUCUUGCGGAUCCAGGACCUUUACCUUGAAAAAAUUAGAGUGUUUAAAGCAGGCAUUUUUGCUCGAAUACAUUAGCAUGGAAUAAUAGAAUAGGACGGCAUGGUUCUAUUUUGUUGGUUUCUAGGAUCACCGUAAUGAUUAAUAGGGAUAGUUGGGGGCAUUAGUAUUCAAUUGUCAGAGGUGAAAUUCUUGGAUUUAUUGAAGACUAACUACUGCGAAAGCAUUUGCCAAGGAUGUUUUCAUUAAUCAAGAACGAAAGUUAGGGGAUCGAAGACGAUCAGAUACCGUCGUAGUCUUAACCAUAAACUAUGCCGACUAGGAAUCAGACGAUGUUAAUUUUUUAAUGACUCGUUUGGCACCUUACG